rnacentral:rRNA from 1 species
UGGGGAAUAUUGGACAAUGGGCGAAAGCCUGAUCCAGCCAUGCCGCGUGUGUGAAGAAGGUCUUCGGAUUGUAAAGCACUUUAAGUUGGGAGGAAGGGCAGUAAGCGAAUACCUUGCUGUUUUGACGUUACCGACAGAAUAAGCACCGGCUAACUCUGUGCCAGCAGCCGCGGUAAUACAGAGGGUGCAAGCGUUAAUCGGAAUUACUGGGCGUAAAGCGCGCGUAGGUGGUUCGUUAAGUUGAAUGUGAAAGCCCCCGGCUCAACCUGGGAACUGCAUCCAGAACUGGCGAGCUAGAGUAGGGCAGAGGGUGGUGGAAUUUCCUGUGUAGCGGUGAAAUGCGUAGAUAUAGGAAGGAACACCAGUGGCGAAGGCGGCCACCUGGGCUCAUACUGACACUGAGGUGCGAAAGCGUGGGGAGCAAACAGG